rnacentral:misc_RNA from 1 species
UUUUUUUUGGCUCUCAAAACACUUACCAAUCCAAAAAAAAGUACACGCUUCUGAGUGAAAUUUAUAUUUUAAUCAGUUUGGUAAGUGUUUUGAGAGCCAAAAAAAAAAAUCUAUUGAAGUGGCUUCAGAUUCUUUACAACCCCUUUCAAUUGACAUUCUUUGUGAAAGGCUUUCUUGUGCAGAAACAGUAACACAUCCCGUACAUUUAGAAGAUCCUGCCCUGGUGCUGGUUUCCUGUUCUCAUCAUUGUACAAAACUCUUCAUAGUUGAUCCUACCAUCAUUAUCUGUGUCAACUUCAGAUAUUAU